ensembl:lncRNA uncharacterized LOC107661267
GUGUACUGUUUUUUUUUUUUUUUGGUCCAAUAAGUAAUAUCUCUUGUCAGGUAAUAUCUCUUCACAGAGAACUGGUUUUCUUGUUUAAGGUUUUUUGUUUUUAUUCCAGGUACCAAGAGAUGAGAGUGUUUUCGAUAAAGAUGAUGUCUAGCUCCAAUCUCAUGUAAGCCACUAUGACAUCUCAUAAAAGUAUGUUUAUUAGAUUCUCUGUUUAUCAUUAAAAGGGCUGUGCAUGAGUGUGAAGCUAUGACUGAACAUAGCUCAUAUGAAUGACGAAGUUAUUUGGCCAAAGGCUUUACAGUAAAAGCUGUACUGUCUCCUCCUGUCCUGUGAAGGGUGCUAGAGUCACUUCAGCUAGCACAGCAACCUAAUGUGCUGGGGGUUUGAUUUUAAAGGGGGAACUUUCACGCGCUCGUCUGUGUUGUUAUCGGUACCUGUAUGGUCUGUCUUUAUCGUUUAAAUUCAGCGACCUGAAAUAAAGUUGAACAAUGACUAAACUGGAUCGUCUGAACACUUUCAUGACCGAGCGCUUGAUGGCUGCUGUGAAGGAGAUCAUCUUCACAGUCGGCAGAACGGUUCGGGAGUAUGAAGAGGAAACGGAGCGAAUCCGGAGCGAAAACAAGCGAUUGAAAGAAAUGUUGCGAGACUCUGGGUGCUUCAGCGAAGAAACAAAUGCCGCUCCUGUGCAGUCUUAUCAGCCCAUCUCCCCGGGGCAGCCCGGAUGGAUCUGCAGCCAGAAUGAGGAGCCAGAACCCUUUGAAGAGAUCCAGGAGGACCAAAGCCAGAGGCUUGGUGAACAACAUCCCUUCAUAAAACCGGAAAAGCCUGAGUACUCUGUCGAUGCUUACAGGGAGUCUGUAGCUUUGCCAUCAAAAGCCAGCAUCAAUAACGAAGGCUCACACGUGUGUGCCGAUAACGCCAACACAAAUCCUAUUGAGGAUGAAAUUACAAACUGUCAUUUCCCAUCUAAAAUCAAAGUUGAAUUCAUGAACUCCAGCUUGUGUUCAGGCGAUGCAAUGGGAAGCACUGAAGAUGCAUAUCAGAGCUGGUCGCCACACAGUCCAGAUUUGCCUUUAGGGGCUUCAGACAUCUACAGAGCACAGCAUCUAAACCAGCCAAUAUGCGCUAACAGCGAAGCUCCUGCCACAGUAUCUCAGCAUAGCAGUUCAUCUCAUGAUGCCAAUCACGUUUCAUAUCACAACAUAUUAUGUACAAACAGGGCCUACUGUAGCAGUAAAUGCUGUGAAAUGCAAAAGAGGACAAUAGCCAAAUCAAGCCCUGUAUGGAAGUAUUUCUCUCUAAAAGAUGGAGACUGUAGCAAAGCAGUGUGCCUUAUGUGUAGGGCCGUCAUAUCUCGUGGUCGCAAAGAAUACACAACGUCGGCUCUUCUAAAGCACCUUCGGAUGAAACAUGGUAAAUGUUGACAUUAUAAUUUGUCAUCUGAUUUUAUAUAUGCGCAUAUAUGUACAGUCUUUUCUGUUCAACUACUUUUACGGUGCUUGAAUAAUAGGAUAAAUAUGAGGAAAGCCAGACAUUAUCUUUGUGUUAUUCCUGCAGGAAAUGCGCUAAUCUUUGGCAGUGCUAAGAAGAGACGAAUGAAAGAAAUUAUGAGAAAGACUGUGUGAAAACCACUCUUGAGUCAGUAUGGACACUGGCUAUUGUGCAUCAUGGCCAACCUUUAAGUGUUUUCAAACAAAUUGUUUCAUCAAAACCUACAUCAUAUGGAGUGGGUUGAGAUAGAGAAGUCAGAAAUGUAAGCUUACAAUAAGUCAUCUAAGCUAUUUGGUUAUGGUUACAGAGAAAGAGUUGGGGAAAAAAUGUCACAAUCUUUAGCCUGUAAGUAACUGGUGAAUGAAUGUCAUCAUUGUCAACAAAAUAACAGGAUGUACAUACUAGCUAGGACAAGAUUAAUCUCAAAGAAAACUAAUAAAAAGAAAUAGAUUUAAGAAUUUUACAGACCUUUACAGAAUAUUUUACCACCCCACUGA